AAAUCUAAGGAAGAGAUUGCUAAUUCAGCUUUGCCAGUUACACUUUCUCAAGGCCCAUAAUUAAAAAUGAGCUUCAGGGCACUAGCAGAGAAGUCAGAUUUGCUCUGAGCCUGAGGGGCUGUAAAUUGGCUGCUUUUGCAAACUGCUUUCACUCUUUUAGGUCAAGAGGGGAAGUAUUAAUGCCUUUGUGUGGUAGAAUAAAUGCUCCCAAAGUGACUUGAAAGAAGAGAUUUUCCUCCCUAAACCUCUAAGAUUACAUAUAAAGGCAGAAUUGGCUUUGGAAGAAGUUAGGUUUGCUGUGAAAAUUACAGGUUAUAUCUUGAUAAAGUUGAAUAGACAGAGAAGAAGGAAGAGAAAAAUGAGCAGAAGGAGGAAGGGGAACCCGUGGAGCUCAACUACAAUUUGCUUGGCCUUCCUAAUGAAAGUGUUUUUAUAUCAUUCUCAGGGAACAGAGGAACACAGCUCUGGAAGACUCUGAAUGCCCAGUAUUGGAUGUCAGCUCUACAAAAUAGGGUACAGACGUCAAUCUGACCAGUCAAUAAUUAUUGAGACCAGCUGAAUAAUCAUAAAUAGGUCUUCUCCAAUUGCAAUCACUGUAGCCAUCUCUCAAGCAACCGCAAUAUGAAGUUCUGACUUGCAUCUAUUGCAAUUUUUUUGCUAUGAUCUAUUUGGAGAAUCAGUCUCCUUCUUGGCUUUUUCUCAGGAACUAUUCCCCAAAAGUCUGAGCUGUUACCUGAGUGUAAGAGAAUAUUCUGCUACUAGCAGGCAUAAUAGUGGAGAAAGCGAUUUAGGGAAAACAUACACUGACUCUUCUCUUUACAUUAUAUUGCCAGAAGAGUACAUCCAUAACAUUUUCAGUUAUGACAUGUCCCAUUGGACUCAUCCACAUACUGGAAAAAUUUACCUCAGAGUCUAGCUAUUAUUGUGAGACAAUUUAAUUUUUGCAAAAUAAUUCUUUCUAAAAUUUCUAAAGUAAAUCUUUAAAUUCUUAAUAUAUUUUUCCUAAAAGUAAUUUCUACAGACACUAUAUAAACACAUAAAGUUUUAUUUUUCAAAAAAAAUUGAGUGUAUUUUAUGCUAUAUUCUGGUGAUGUCUGUUUCACUAGAAAAAUUCAUGUUAUUCAGGAUGUGACGCAGAGAAAUAUUAAGAGUUACCUCUAAACUGACUUGUAUCAGAGAUCUCAUCCAUUAUCACUCAUUGCUUCCUUGAGUUUCUAGUGAUUAAUCAUGUCUAAUUAUUUAUUGAUUACAGGCAUAGCUCACUUUUAUUGCUCUUCGCUUUCUUGUGCUUCAGAGAUAUGCAGUUUGUACAAAUUGAAAGUUUGUGACAGUCCUGUCAAACAAGUCCAUUGGCACUGUUUUUCCAACAGCAUUUGCUCACUUCAUGUCUCUCAGUCAUGAUGUGGUAAUUUUUACAAUAUGUCAAGCUUAUUAAUUCUUAUUAUAUUUGUUAUGGUGACCUGUGAUCAGUGAUCAUUGAUGUUUCUAUUGUAAUUGUUUUGGGGCGCCACUCUCUGCACCCAUGUAAGAGUUAAUCAUUAAAUAUUGUGUGUGUUCUGACUGCUCCACCGACUGGCUCUUCCUCCUCUCUCUCCCUCUCACCCAGCCUCCCUAUUCC
ensembl:lncRNA